rnacentral:lncRNA from 1 species
CAUGCGCCACCAUGCCUGGCUAAUUUUGUAUUUUUAGUAGAGAUGGGAUUUCUCCAUGUUGGUCGGGCUGGUUUCAAACUCCCAACCUCAGGUGGUCCGCCUGCCUCAGCCUCCCAAAUUAAAUGCCUUAAAAAAUGUUCACAUUAUUUAACCAAAAGACACAACAUCAUUUGGUAAUUAAAAAUUUAUUCAAUUUUUCUUGACAAUAUUUGUUAAACACUUACUACAUGCUUGGUACUAUGCUAAUUGCUAAAGAGUCAAUGAUUUUGAAAACAAGUGCUCAACGUUUUGGGGGAGAAUUUUUAUUGAUUAGCUGCCAUGAAAUCACUCAUCAUACUUCUGGUAAGCUGCCAUCUGAAGAGGCAUGAAAAAGUUCCGUGGUGUCUGCUGAGUGUUCUCGGUUAAUCCAGUCCAAAUUAAUUCCCACCCAUACUUUCUUACUUUAUAUUUUACACAGUGUUCACCCUUAGAGAUGACAAACACAGCUGAUAAAAACUUAGUAUAAAGGCUGAAUCAUGAGGCCAGGAAGUUAAAAGAAGCAGGUAUCUUUGAGUAAGAUAUUUUCAUCCUCAAAUCAAGUCUACCAGGCACAUCAAGAAUAUUUGAUAUCAGCAUCAUAAUUUUGCGUUUUUGAAUAAACUUUGUAAUUAUAUUACUUGUAAUACAUUUUCCAAAGAAGAAAACUAAACACUGCCAAAUGGUAAGAUAAUAAUAAUAAAAGGUACAAUCCUAU